rnacentral:misc_RNA from 1 species
UAGUUGAGUUGAGUUGAGUUUUUAUCUUGCAAUCAUUCUUUUUGGGGAUGUCUCGUCCACCCCCUUGAGUACGAGGGUUCUUGCUGUGAAGAUGUUAUGUGCAUCUUAUUGUAGAUUGUCCAUAUGUGCUUUCAAAGGCUCCAGUUGCUGUUGCAUCUAAUCUUGUAUCGCUUUUUGAAGGCAAAUGUAUUUAUAACAGUUGAAACAACCAUAUUUUGGAGCUCAUUGGAGCGAUCAGGAUCUGCAUGGUCUCCUUGUUUUGUAGUCUUCUGAGGUGUUUAGAGAGUGAGAAUAAUGGAUGGGGGUCGCAUGACCUUUUCCAUGGCGUUCAGUGAGUUUGAACAUAGUUGUUUUGGGAAAAUAAUAGUUUCAGGUUAUCAGAAAGAAGGGAAAACAUAUUAGUGUUUCCCACAGACGGUGCCAAAUAACAAGGGUUGAAAAAGCACUAGAUGUUUGCCAUGUGGUACCUGCAGUGUGGUCACAGAAAAGGGUUACAGGGAGGUAAAGUGUUCCCUGCUGAUGAACCUCAAAUGCUUAAGUCAGUGACUUGUGAGAAAGCUAGGGUUCCAAAGGACCAGAAUAGGAAGUAAGCAAUUGAGAGAUUCGAGAUUAGAAAGAUUAAGAGAUCCUUACUAGAGUAUAUCAUUCUUUUAUUGGUGACUAGGGCAGAUGUAGCUUUCAAAUUGAUGGCAGUUGUUGACCAACCACAUAUGUUGUAUGAGGCUACUUAUUAUUUAUGUUUGAUCCACGAAGGCAACACGCUCCGAGUCAUUUGAUUCCCCUAUCACUACUGAGAAUAUUGUAAGGUGGUUUUAUGUCAAGUGGUGCAGUAAUGAUGUCCUCCCUCACGUGCACUAUGCACGCUUUAUUUAUUAAGAAUUUCUUAGGACCACGUCUUUACACUAAACAUCAAAUCCUCCAUUAAUGACUCGUCAAUAUUGUAUCCUAGUCGGUGCACUCAAAAGCGCCAAAGCGCAGCAACAAAUAAGAAAGCAGUUUUACAUAUGCUAAGCAAAGUGCAUUUAGUGAAGUAAGGGAUUUUUGUGCUAAAAAGAGCAGAAAUGCGC